GUCCCCAGGGAGCUGCAGUGCCGGCAGUUAAGCACAGGGUGGCAGCAGCGAGCACGGUCCCCAGGGAGCUGCAGUGCCGGCAGUUAAGCACAGGGUGGCAGCAGUGAGCGCUGCGCGCAUGCGUUGGGUCGCUGUGCGGGGUGCGGAGCUGGCGCAUGCGUCCUGCUCUGCCGCCUCGUUACGCAUGCGGGGCCGGGGCCGUGCUGAGAGGCCUGCGGGGGGAAGGCUGCGGCGGCAGCGGCGUGGAGCGGCAGCGGGGCCGGGCCGGGCCGAGGAGGGCUUUGCAGUGCCGCACACGCUCAGAGGACAGGUCCCUGGAUUGCAGUGCUGCUCCAAUGGCCUGUGGUGGCUGCAGGCAGCCGCGGCCCGGGGAGCCCAAGACUCAGCGUGUGGAAGGGUUGGGAGCAGCCCUGGGUGCCUGCAAGGAUUCGGGAGGCCUGAGCAGGUCUGAAACCCUGCCACGGAGAGGCACAGGCCCCGCAGCAGUGCCUGCAUUUCAGCAGCUGCCCAUCGGAGCUAAGCACAGCCUCGGCUCAGAGCUCAGGAGCAUGUCUGCUGGGCAGUGCUGGGGGCCAGGCGUCCCUCCUGUGUGUGCAUGGCCCACAUGGCAGCACCCUGCAGUCAGAGCUGACUGUGUGCACUGGAGGUGGAGUGUUGGAGUGGGAUCAGCUCAGAGCUCUGCAAGGUUUGCACUUUGCUUUCCACUCCACUGGCCAAGCCAGCCAGAUGUGCAGCAGCAGCAGGAUGGGCACGAGGGCCCCAGCUGCUGCGGUGAAUCCGUCAGCACGGACGCUGGUGCCGCUGCAGCCUGGCCCUGCAGCCUGGCAGGGUGAUCUCCUUUGGCUCGGCUCCUGUGGGCUCCAGAUGCUAACAGAGCAGCUGGAUGAGCAGAAAGCCUCUCGUGCAAACGGCUGUGGAGUGCUUCUCUCUGUUCCCUGCUGCUGGGAGGUGCUGACAGGUUAGGGUUUGCAGGGAGGCAGAUCUCGUGGAGAAGGGCUGAACUCACUGUGCAAGGACACUGCACAAUCCAGUGUGGAUCAAAAGCGAGUGACAACUUUAUUUAGUAGCCACACGCUUAUAUGUGUUACAGAUAAUUUAUGCAUACAUGUAAGAAGCUAAAUGGCUGAAUCCCUAAAUACCCCAUUUGCUCUGCUUGAGUUGUCUGCUGACUCAUCAAGGACAGUGCCUCCCUGGCUAGUUAUAUUAAAUGCUGCCUUUGUUUAUUCAAUAUGUCUUUGUUUCUGUGUGGCCUAGCACAGCCUUAAUUUAGUUCCAUAUACUCAUCCUGCUUGCCCACUUCUAAGUCAUGUCCAUUUUCCUUUAGCCAUUCUGCAACAAGGGUUAGUGGAGGGGUGUGAAGAAUUUGCAGGGAUCUCUAAGGGUCUGCAGACCCCUUUGAAAGGUCUGAAGUUGUCUGUAGAUGUCUCUAGGGUGCUGCAGGGGCCUGCAGGCACCUCUUAAAUGUCUGGAGGGGUCUGUAGCUGUCUGUAGAGGUCUCUAGAGGUCUCUAGAGCUUUGUAGAGGAAUGUGGGUGCCUGCAGCUGUCUCUAGGGGUGUGUGGAGGUCUGCAGGCACCUUUCAAAUGUCUGGAGGGGUCUGCAGAGCUCUGGCAGGGUCUGUAGAUUUUGGCAGGGUUCUGUAGGAGUCUCUGGGCAACUUUUAAAGGUGUGGAGGGGUCUGCAGGUGCCUGUUGAGCUUUGUCCAUGUGUGUGGUGGUGUGUAGGUGAGUGUGGGUGUCUGCAGAGGUGUGAAGGGGUCUGUAGCUAUUUGUCAGGGUCUGAGAGAGUCUGCAGAGGUCUGUAGAGUUGAGUAGGUGUUUGGAGAUUUCUGUGUGGGUCUGUAGGUGCCUGCAGGCAUCAUUGAAGGCUCUGGAGAGGUCUGUAGAUGUGUGCAGGGGUCUGUUAAAUAUCUGGAGGGGUCUGGAUGGGUGUGGGGAGCUCUGUAGGGGUCUGUAUGUGUUUGCAGGCAGCUGCAGGGGUCCGUAGAUGCCUGUAGGGAUUUGCAGGACUCUGUUAGUUCUCUGUAGAGGUCUGCCUGGGUCUGGAGGUGCCUUUUAAUGGGUCUGUGGAGGUCUGGAGGGCUCUGCAGUGGUCUGUUAAAGGUGUGGAGGGGUCUGUAGGUGUCUGCAUUCAGUGAAGGAGUUCUUUGGCUCCAGGACACUUUAGUCCAGUGUCUCUAAAGUGUGACUGUCCCAAAUGAGAUAGAGGUGCACUGGCAGCGUGUUUGCAGAUGGCCCCAAGCUGAGUGGUGCUGGAGAGCAAGCAGAGGGGCAGGAUGGCAUCCAGGAAACACCUGGGCAGGCAGGGGAGCUGGGCCCAGGCGAAGCUUGUGAGGUUCCAGGAGAGCAAGGGCAGGGUGCUGCGUGUGGGCGGGAGGAAGCCUGCCUGUGCCUGCGGGCUGGGGGCGGAGGCGAUAAAGAGCAGCCCUGGGGGUGCUGGGGAGAAGCUGAGUGCGAGCACAUGGUGUGAGCUUGCAGGCCAGGAGGAGCCUGUCGGUGUCUGCAGGGGUGUGCAAGCAGCUGUAGGAGUCUGCCCAGGUCUGUUGGUGUCUGCAGGGGUCUUCUAAAAGGCCUGGAGGCUUUUCUGAGUGUGCAGAGGUGUGCGGGGGUCUGGAGGCAUCUGUAGGUACCCUUAGGGGCCUGGAGGGCUCUCUGGGUGUCUGUGGAGCUCUCUGGGUGUCUGUGGAGGUGGUUAGGGGUCUGUAGAGGUGUCUGUGGUGCUGUAGGUGUCUCAAAAGGCUGUGAAGGUCUUGAGGUGCCUUGCAAAGGUCUCGAGGUGUCUGUAGGGGUCUGCAGGGUUCUCUGGCAGUCUGUAGAGGUCUGUGGGGGUCUCUAGGGGCCUCUUAAAGACAUGCAGGGGUCUGCAGGGCUCUAUGGAAAGGUCGGGAGGGGUCCCUAGAGGUCUCUAGGAGGCUGGAGGGGUGUGCAAGUGUCUGUAGCAUUCAGCAGGUGUGUGGAGGUUUCUGUUCUGGGCCCGCAGGUGUCUGCAGGCAUCUUGUAAAGGUCUGCAGGGGUCUGUGGAGCUCUGUCAGGCAUCUGUUAAGUGUCUGCAGGAAUCCAUUGAAGGUGUGGAGGGGGCUGCAGGGCUCUGCAGAGGAGGCUGUGGCUGUGUGUAGAGGUCUUAGGGGUGUGAAGAGUUUGCAGGGGUCUGUAAGGGUCUGCAGAGCCCUUGGAAAGGUCUGAAGUUGUCUGUAGGAGUCUGGAGAUGUCUCUAGGGCACUGCAGGGCUCUGCAGGGGUCUGCUGCUGCGGGAGGAGUGGGCUGGCGGAGCCACGCCCCCCGGGCUGCGGAGCCACGCCCCCUCCCUGGCCUUUCUUGCCUGGCUCUGGUUACUGCCUGUUUAUUUGCAUAGCCACACCCCUUUCCAUAGCCCCGCCCCCGCCCCACAGUAACUAAUUAUAUGGUGACAGAUUUGGAGCUUCCUUUGGAGGAGGAGUUCAGGAGGUGGCUGCUGAUUGGUGGAUUGUGAUGGGCGUGGUUUGCCGCUUGUUCUGCCUCCCUCAUUUGCAUACAUUUCAAUAUCAGGCUCUGCCUUUGAGUACCUUGGAGAUGGGUUGGGGGUUGGGGAGGGGUUACCGGGAGGGUCAGCAGCUGAUUGGUGGAUCCUGUGGGGGCUGUGGGCAUGGUCACCCCUGUGCCCCGCCCCCUCAUUUGCAUAAAUGAAGGCAGGGUCCACCUGGCAGAGUUUGGUGCUUUAUUGGGGGGGGGACUGGUUAGGACGGGGAGGGUCAGCAGCUGAUUGGUGCAUCCUCUGGCGUGGGCGGGGCCUGCCCCUGCCCCUCCGAAGUGCUCGAUGGUCUCCAGCACAGCCCCAGCAGCUCCAGGAAGGAGGAGACCUCCCCCCGCAGGCCUCCAGCCCCCCGGGAGACCCAGAGCCUGCAGGGGGAGGGCUCAGGGACCCCCAGACCCUCCCAGGGACCUCCAGUAACCUCCCAGGGACCUCUGAUGACCUCUCGGGGACCCCCAGACCCUCCCAGGGACCCGCAGACCCGCCCACUGGCCUCCCAGAGACCCCCACUCACCUCCUUGUAUGCCCCCACUAAUCCCCCAGCCCCUCCCCGUCCCCGCCCAGCGCCCCCCAGUGCCCACUCAGGCCCUCAGCUUGUCCCCGCAGCACUGCAGCCUGGCCUGGGGGCGCUGCUGAGGCCUCCCCCCGGGCCGGGCUGGGGCUGCAGGCCUGGGCCCAGCGCCCUCAGUGCCACCUGUGCCAGGCCAGCAGGCAGCGGCAGCAGCACCUCCCUGGCAGGGCAGGUCAAGGAGCCUCGGGGGAGGGACCCCAGCACCCCCCAGCGUCUCCCCAGUCCCCUCCCAGCGUCUCCCCAGUCCCCUCCCACUGCUCCCAGUCCCCCCCAGGCACCCCUGGGACUCUCUACGGCACCCACAGACCCUUCCCCUCCCCCCCCCAGCCACCUCUGACCCCCGUCAAAACCUCACCCGGGGACCCCCAUGACACCCCCAGACCCUCCCUCUGCUCCACUGCCCCCUCCCCCCAGCCACCUCGGACCCUUCCCAAGGCGCCCCCAAACCCCCCCAACCCCGGGGCCGCCUACAACACCCCCAGACCCUCCCCCUACCCCCUUCAGCCACUUCGGACCCCCCCAAGCGCCCCUGGCAACCACUGACUCAUCCCCACACCCUCCCCCCACUGCUCGCCCCCCCCCAGCCACCUCAUCCCCCCCCCGGGACUCCUCAAACCCCCCUGGGGCCCCCCCGAAGCCCCUCUGGGACUCUCCAAAACCCCCCAGCCCCUUCCCCCGCCCCCCCCGAGCCCUCUCGGACCCCUCCCGGGACCCCCCAACUCCGCCUAAGACCCCCCCGGGGCUGGGUACAGCCGCAGCAGCUCGCUCCGCGCCGCCAUCUUGCCUCCGUGUCGUCACUUCCGGCUGGCAGGCGACGCUCUGGGCCGCUCCUCUCGCUGGUCAAAGCCGCUCUAGGCCUCCGAGGUCCUCCAGGCGCCACUGCGAGCGGCUCCGGGCCAAAGCAAUGACUGUGCUCAGCUGCAGGGAUGGAUUUGCCUGCACUCAAGCUGCUGCUGCCAGAGCCCCUCCGUGUCAAUCUGUGCUGCCGUUGGGUUCUGCAGCUCUCUCCAGCAAGCACGGCAUGAGCUGAAGGAGCAGCAGGAGCAGCAUGGCCGUUCCCCAGGCAGCAGGAGGGUUCAGCCCAGCACCAGCUCAUGCGGGAGGAGCAGAUGCUGAGGAACAUCCCCCACGAGACGCAGGUGGCCAAAGAGGCUGGGUCAGGUGCCAAAAAGGAGACCUUCUUCACCUGCUUCUCCUGUGCAAGCUCUUCUGUCUGUCUGCUGAGAUGUUUCUGCCUGUUUCUCUGGCAGAGAAGUGUUUGCUUUUUUGGCUGGCGAGCUGACCAUCCGUACUACCGUCGCCUUGAAUGCCUCCAACCAGCAGUGUUUGCUGCCAGACAGACACCUGGAGAAGACAGAGGACAUGGUUAAGUUCAUGGAGGAUAUCUUGGAUGGUGCUGCUGAAGCACAGGCUGGUGAUGGACUUCUGCAACGAAGCAAGAGAGUCAUCUAUGAGGCCAAGGCUGCUGUAAUGAUAAACCAAGAGCAAGUGCGACUGAAAGAGCUUUGCAGGUAACAACUCUGUGACCCUGUUUGGAGAGUUUUGAAUUGGUCAUUGCCAGCGAGAUCAAGAAAGCAGGAGUCAGCCACCUGCCACCCAUCCCCUCCUGACCCCAACCCCAGAAACCCAAAGCAGCACUUGGCACAGGAGGUCUCUCGUGUUGCAGUCUCAACUUCAAGCCCUGGAAUACUUUGCUUCAGCCAGCAGCAUGGGGUUGGAUCCCAACAGCAGAGUCGACUUAACCUGUGACUAAGUGAACUUUAAGUGUUCUGACUCCACAGUGGAACCUGAUAAAGAAAGAUGUGAAUGGAA